UACGGGGGGGGCAAGCGUUGUUCGGAAUUACUGGGCGUAAAGGGCUUGUAGGUGGCCAACUAAGUCAGACGUGAAAUCCCUCAGCUUAACUGGGGAACUGCUUCUGAUACUGGAUGGCUUGAGUUUGGGAGAGGGAUGCGGAAUUCCAGGUGUAGCGGUGAAAUGCGUAGAUAUCUGGAGGAACACCCGUGGCGAAAGCGGCUCUCUGGAACGGUACUGACGCUGAGACGCGAAAGCGUGGGGAGCGAACAGG
rnacentral:rRNA from 1 species